GGUGAUAAUUUGAACUUUUCAGUCAAGCUUAUGCAACAGAUCUCCUUGCAUACUUAGGAAGGAGCAGGAUUUUCCCCUCAAGACAAGCGUGAUCACUGCCGAACUCAAUCCUUGCACGUCCAACUUCCCUUAAAUUCCGGAGGUGCAACUCUGAAGGCCUUUAAAUGAAGGAUGGUGACAGACAUUUACCCACAUCGCUAGAUAACAAAGAAAAUAACAAUAACAAAGAAAAUGUUAUGAAUAUAAUCUGAAUAGAAUUCAGCUUAGAAUGGACGGGCUCUCUAACAUGGGCCAGUAACUUCGGCCGGAUUAUAUUGAAACGCGGAAGCGGGGGCAUUUCUGGAUU